rnacentral:misc_RNA from 1 species
GCAUAUGCUGAAAUGUUACUCUUAUUACCAUCUCACUUAAUCUGUCCCCUGUCCACCCUUACUAGAAUGGACCCAUCAAACAAUGCGACUUCUUCUCAGUCCAUGUCAAACUCAUCUAUUGGCCAGCAGUUUCUUCCUCCACCCCCUAUGUGGCCCACGGCUUACAUGCAGCAGAGUGCUAUGGAUUGUAACCUCGUGGGAAACCUGAAUUUUCCAAACCCUGCUCAAGGUCCGACAACAAUGUGGGCACCCAUGCAUACAGGGAAUACUUCUUCCCAAUCUUCCAUGAUUCCGGCCUCUCAAUCAGCUAUGUACUGGAAUCAUUAUUUGAAUUUUGUGAGGAAUCCUCUUGGGCCACCAGAAGUUAACCCAUUUCCUGAUUGCAUUCCACCAUCCAAUACCAGUACACCAUUGCAGGGUUCCAAUACUAUACCUUCCAUACCUGUGAAUUUGGACUCAGAUGCAGAACAUAGUGUUCAAGACAUCAAUAGUCCUGAAAAGAAUGCACCUCCAAUACAAAAACCCAAAAAGGCUAAGGAACAAAACUUUACUAGCCCUGAAGAUCUUCUACUUUGCACAACCUGGUUGCAAAUUAGCAGUGACCCUGUUGUGCACACUGGGCAACGUAGGGAGGGCCUUUGGGCUAGAAUUGAAAAAAGAAACAACGAACAGAGGGGGAACUUUCCUUGCCGAGUUAACAGAGCGCUUAGCAGCAGAUGGGAUAAGAUAAGAGCAGAUGUAAGUAAGUUUGCUGGCUACUAUGCAAGAGUUCUUAGAGAGAAACAAAGUGGGUUAACUGAUGACGACAAGGUAACCCAAAUUUUCAUGACUUUAAAUCAUUUACAAAUGAUUCUAUAUACAUGUUAACACAUUUGUAAAAUUAAACCAUAAUUUGUACAGACUUCGAAGGCCGCAACAUUAUUUGCACACGAGGAGAACAAAAAUUUCCAGUACAUGCAUUGCUGACACCAACUAAAGGGAGAACCGAAAUGGGAGAGCAUUUGUAGUGGCCAAUCGUUCCGCGGAUUGAAUGCAAAUCCAGUUGGGUCAACAGGUACUCCGUCUGCUCCGACAACUGAAAAUGAUAGUUCAUCAGUAGGGUUGACAGGAAAACGGCCGCGUGGUCGUGAUUUCAGUAAAUCAGAGAGAAACAAACCUGCAUCAUCUUCAUCUCCAGAGUACCUUAGCCGUUUGCAAGAAAUAACUGAAAAACAAAUUCAGAGGUCCAUUGAAAAGGGUGCAAAAAAAGAGAAGUGCACAGAAGAAGACAGGGAAAUGGAGAAAAAGAGGUUAGAAUUGGAAGCCGAAAAGGUCAUCAUACGAAAAAGGGAAUUGAAACUUCAAGAACUAGAAUCUGCUGAAAAAAGAUUACAAAGGCUGGAGGCAACGAAUGAAGAAGAUGUCCAACCCCAUGUUUGGAUUAUGAUACAAAAACAAAAACAGAAGUUGCAAGAAUUCAUAUUUGGUUACGAG